rnacentral:rRNA from 1 species
UACGGAGGGUGCGAGCGUUGUCCGGAAUCAUUGGGCGUAAAGGGCGCGUAGGCGGCUUGAUAAGCGUGCGGUGAAAGCCCGGGGCUCAACCCCGGGUCGGCCGUGCGAACUGUCGAGCUGGAGCACUGUAGAGGCAGGUGGAAUUCCGGGUGUAGCGGUGGAAUGCGUAGAGAUCCGGAAGAACACCGGUGGCGAAGGCGGCCUGCUGGGCAGUGGCUGACGCUGAGGCGCGACAGCGUGGGGAGCAAACAGG